rnacentral:rRNA from 1 species
CCCUUAGAUGUUCUGGGCCGCACGCGCGCUACACUGAUGCAUUCAACGAGUUUCUUCCUGGUCCGAGAGGAAUGGGUAACCUUUUGAAAGUGCAUCGUGAUAGGGAUAGACUAUUGCAAUUAUUGGUCUUCAACGAGGAAUUCCUAGUAGACGUAGUUCAUCAGACUGCAUCGAUUACGUCCCUGUCCUUUGUACACACCGCCCGUCGCUCCUACCGAUUGAAUGCUCAGGUGAGCCAUUCGGACUUUCAUCAUGCUGGUUUCCAGUUUUGAUGAAGGAAAGUCUUGCGAACCUUAUCAUUUAGAGGAAGGAGAAGUCGUAACA